rnacentral:tRNA from 1 species
GCCGGAGUGGCGAAAUGGCAGACGCGGCAGACUCAAAAUCUGCUCUCCGCGAGGGGGUGGGGGUUCGAGUCCCCCCUUCGGCA